rnacentral:lncRNA from 1 species
AAAUCUAAUUAAAUCUUAAACCCUAAUAAUUCCUAAACCCUAAGUCAAAUCCUAAAUAAAUCUUAAAUUAAACCCUAUUCCAAAUCCUAAACCCUAAACCAACCCUAAAUCAAAUCCUAAACCAAAUUCCAAUCUAACCCUAAACCCUAAACCAAACCUUAAAUCAAAUCCUAACCAAACCCUAAUCCAAACCCUAAAUCAAACCCUAACCAAAUCCUAAAUUCUAAUCCAAAUCCUAAUCCAAUCCUAAAUUCUAAUCCAAAUCCUAAUCCAAUCCUAAACUCUAAUCCAAAUCCUAAACCCUAAACCAAACCUUAAAUCAAACCCUAACCAAACCCUAGUCCAAACUCUAAUCCAAAUCCUAAAUCAAACCCUAACCAAAUCCUAAUCCAAAUCCUAAUCCAAACCCUAAUCAAAAUCCUAGACCCUAAGUCAAACCUUAAAUCAAAUCCUAAUCAAAUCCUAAUCCAAACCCUAAAUCAAACCCUAAUCCAAAUCCUAAACCGAAUCCUAGCCAAAUCCUAAUCAAAUCCUAAAUCCUAAUCCAAAUCCUAGCCAAAUUCUAAUCCAAACCCUAA